rnacentral:rRNA from 1 species
CGGCGUGCCUAACACAUGCAAGUCGAGCGAGGAGAUCCUUCGGGAUGAUCCUAGCGGCGGACGGGUGAGUAACACGUGGGCAACCUGCCUCAUAGAGAGGAAUAGCCUUCCGAAAGGGAGAUUAAUACCUCAUAACAUUGCAGUUUCGCAUGGAACAGCAAUUAAAGGAGUAAUCCGCUAUGAGAUGGGCCCGCGGCGCAUUAGCUAGUUGGUGAGGUAACGGCUCACCAAGGCGACGAUGCGUAGCCGACCUGAGAGGGUGAUCGGCCACAUUGGGACUGAGACACGGCCCAGACUCCUACGGGAGGCAGCAGUGGGGAAUAUUGCACAAUGGGGGAAACCCUGAUGCAGCAACGCCGCGUGAGUGAUGACGGCCUUCGGGUUGUAAAGCUCUGUCUUCAGGGACGAUAAUGACGGUACCUGAGGAGGAAGCCACGGCUAACUACGUGCCAGCCGCCGC